rnacentral:lncRNA from 1 species
AAAAAUUUAGUCAUGCACUAUUUUUUUAAAAAGUAAUAUUUUAAAGGGCUAAAUUUUUAGCUCUAGACUACAUUUAGCCCUAUGACUGGAGAUAGCCUUGUUGAAUUCCAACUUUUACUACCUAAAUUUUUUUUCUGUUACUUCCACAUAUAUGCCCCGUCCAGUUAAGCCAUGACGUGGCAAUCAAUUUUGUUAAUCCACGUGGCACAAAAUGAGUGAUUCCACAUAGGUCUAUU